rnacentral:lncRNA from 1 species
AAAGAAAUCUUGCUGUUUGAUUUUGAGGUCUUAGGUAUUUGCAACUAUAAAAACUUUCCAGUUACUAUGGAGAAGAACAAAUUAUCUUAUGAAGGAAAGCAUAUUAGAGUUAAUUUUUCAAGAACCUGCUUUAGGUAGCAGCUUCUGUACUGUGUUUUCUUUAAUCUGUGUUCGAUGUGUGAUGCACUCUCCCUUCUCCAUUUGUGUUGUGUCCUUAGCAGAAAGCACAGCUGAGUGCACGCUAGCUGGAGUGACUGUGCUGCUGUGCUGCUUGUUGCAUGCACACAGGAAUGGAAACCAACUUCUUUCCCUCCCCAGCGCCGUGUGAUCUCCACGAUGCACCAGCAGCCUGUUCACUACUACACACAGGCCCAAAGGCCUUUAAAUGACAGUGUAUAUAACUUCUGUACUAGUCAGACUCCUGACACUAUAAAUGGAAAGGCUUUUUGUUGACAUAUCAUCACCAAAACAAUUUUUUGGAAUGUUCUGGAGACUAACUUGGGUUUAAAAACUGAAAAGAUUGCUAUUAUCCUCAUAAGCAGUUGGGAGGAGGGCAAAUAUAAUUUUAUUCCAUUUGGAAAAUAUAGGAAUAUGUCUUUUAUUUUCUAAAACAAUAAGCUAAAAUGAUGAGUUUUUAUAAUUUUAAUUUGAAAAAUCAAAUAAAUAUUUUCAUAAAGAU